GCCUGACGUUAUUUGCAGAGGGAUGCACUGUUGGCAGGUGGUGCACGUAAAUAAGGAAGGACUUAACCCCCACAAGAUUGAAGUAAAAUCUCGCCCAGUGAGAAUUCAUCGGACUGUUUUAUUUGUUCAUAAAAGAAGACAUGGCCACUGAAGUUUCUAUAACCCCGCCGCAAAGUCCGGAGAAGAAAAUUGGAAAUGAAGAGGAAGACGACGUGGUGGAUCCGUGGAACGUCGUCAGCAAGUCUCAAACCGGGGUCGAUUACGACAAAUUAAUCAAGAAAUUUGGAAGUUCCAAGGUAGAUGCUGAACUGCUACAAAGGAUUGAGAAGGUAACGGGGAAACGACCCCAUCACCUCUUGAGGAGGGGCAUGUUUAUGUCCCACAGAGACAUGCACACUAUUUUGAAUGAAGUUGAAAAAGGAAAGCCGUUUUAUUUGUACACUGGUCGUGGUCCAUCUUCUGAUGCGAUGCAUAUGGGUCAUCUUAUACCUUUCUUCUUUACCAAGUGGCUUCAGGAGGUAUUUGAUGUACCCUUAGUUAUCCAGCUAACUGAUGAUGAGAAGUUCCUUUGGAAAGAUCUCGACAUGGACAAAGCCAGAAAGCUUGCAGUUGAAAAUGCUAAAGACAUAAUUGCUUGUGGAUUUGAUGUUGAUAAGACCUUCAUAUUUGCUGAUUUGGACUUCAUAGGUCAAUGUCCGGAAUUCUAUCAGAAUAUGGUGCGCAUUCAGAAAUGUGUGACAUUUAAUCAGGUGAAAGGUAUCUUUGGAUUUGGGGACAGCGAUUGCAUAGGAAAGAUCAGUUUUCCUGCGGUUCAGGCUACUCCUUGUCUCUCUUCCUCAUUUCCAUUUAUAUUUAAUAAGGCAAAACUACCUUGUCUUAUUCCUUGUGCAAUUGAUCAGGAUCCUUACUUCAGGAUGACUAGGGAUGUUGCACCACGUCUUGGGGCCCAGAAGCCUGCUCUGAUUCAUUCAGUGUUCUUCCCUGCUCUACAAGGAGCCAUGACCAAAAUGUCUGCUUCGGAUAAUAACUCUGCUAUUUUUCUAAAUGACACACCCAAACAAAUCAAGAACAAGGUUAACAAGCAUGCAUUCUCUGGUGGGCAAGCCACUAUUGAAGAGCACAGAGAGAAAGGUGGUAACUGUGAUGUUGAUAUAGCUUACCAGUAUCUCACCUUCUUUUUAGAAGAUGAUGAAAGACUAGAGCAAAUUCGGAAGGAUUACUCUAGUGGUGCUAUGCUGACUGGUGAGAUAAAGAAACUUCUUAUUGAUACAAUCACUCCGAUUGUCACUGAACAUCAAGAGCGAAGAAAAACUAUCACAGACGAAACUGUAAAAGAAUUUAUGAGGCCUCGGAAACUAAAGUAUACCUAUUAAGUAAAAUGGAAAUUGAUGAUGUCUUCUUAUUUUAAUAUUGACAUUAUUUGAUGGUACUGUCAAAUAUUGUACUUACUGCUAUCAAUUAUUUCAAAAUCAAUUUUUAACAGUUUUGUAGGAAGUGGACAUCUGUUUGAGAAUGAAUGUAUUUAUUUAUUGAUGGAAUUUAGAACGUGAUGAAUUGCUGUAAACAAGGAAGAUUGCACUUACUUAGCCAUUAAAAAAUGUCUUGUAAGGAAAAUAAACUUUUCUGUGAUCAUAAUGGUUGCUGACACAUUUCAA
rnacentral:misc_RNA from 1 species